rnacentral:rRNA from 1 species
GCAGUGGGAGCACGCUUCGGCGUGUGACUGCGUACCUUUUGUAUAAUGGGUCAGCGACUUAUAUUCUGUAGCAAGGUUAACCGAAUAGGGGAGCCGAAGGGAAACCGAGUCUUAACUGGGCGUUAAGUUGCAGGGUAUAGACCCGAAACCCGGUGAUCUAGCCAUGGGCAGGUUGAAGGUUGGGUAACACUAACUGGAGGACCGAACCGACUAAUGUUGAAAAAUUAGCGGAUGACUUGUGGCUGGGGGUGAAAGGCCAAUCAAACCGGGAGAUAGCUGGUUCUCCCCGAAAGCUAUUUAGGUAGCGCCUCGUGAAUUCAUCUCCGGGGGUAGAGCACUGUUUCGGCAAGGGGGUCAUCCCGACUUACCAACCCGAUGCAAACUGCGAAUACCGGAGAAUGUUAUCACGGGAGACACACGGCGGGUGCUAACGUCCGUCGUGAAGAGGGAAACAACCCAGACCGCCAGCUAAGGUCCCAAAGUCAUGGUUAAGUGGGAAACGAUGUGGGAAGGCCCAGACAGCCAGGAUGUUGGCUUAGAAGCAGCCAUCAUUUAAAGAAAGCGUAAUAGCUCACUGGUCGAGUCGGCCUGCGCGGAAGAUGUAACGGGGCUAAACCAUGCACCGAAGCUGCGGCAGCGACACUAUGUGUUGUUGGGUAGGGGAGCG